CAACGGGGUGGAAAACGGCCCGGUUAAAUCCCGCAUACGGUUUUUCGGGCAGCCAAGACAACCCGAAGAGGAAAGUUUUGAGUUGUUAAAGAAGGGGGUUGCGGCCCAUCAGGUAGUUGGUGCGGUAACGGCGCACCAAGCCGACGCGGUAGGGGGCUUAGAGGGUACCCCCCACAUUGGGAUUGAGACACGGCCCAGAUUCCUACGGGAGGCAGCAGUAAGGGAUAUUGCGACAAUGGACGAAAGUUUGACGCAGCAACGCCGCGUGAGGGAUGACGGCCCUCGGGUUGUAAACUUCUUUUUUGUGGGAAGAGACAGGACGGUACCACAGGAAGAAGUCACGGCUAACUACGUGCCAGCAGCCGCGGUAAAACGUAGGUGGCAAGCGUUAUCCGGAUUUACUGGGUGUAAAGCGUGUGCAGGCGGUCAUGUAAGUAGCGCGUGAAAGCGCCCGGCUUAACCGGGCGAGGACGUGCUGUACUGCAUGACUGGAGGCUGGUAGAGGCGGGUGGAAUUCCGGGUGUAGUGGUGAAAUGCGUAGAGAUCCGGAGGAACACCAGAGGCGAAGGCGACUCGCUGGGCCAGUACUGACGCUCAGACACGACAGCAUGGGGAGCGAACGGGAUUAGAAACCCCGGUAGUCCAUGCCGUAAACGAUGCAGAUUAGGUAUCGCGGGGGUAAAACCCGGCGGCGCCGCAGCCAACGCGUUAAGUUUGCCACCUGGGGACUACGGCCGCAAGGUUAAAAUUCAAAGGAAUUGACGGGGGCCCGCACAAGCAGCGGAGCGUGUGGUUUAAUUCGAGGUACACGAAGAACCUUACCUAGGCUUGACAUAAUGGUGGUAGGGAACCGAAAGGGGACCGACCUUCGGGAGCCAUUACAGGUGCUGCAUGGCUGUCGUCAGCUCGUGUCGUGAGAUGUUCGGUUAAGUCCGGUAACGAGCGCAACCCCUGCCAUUAGUUGCCAGCAUUAAGUUGGGCACUCUAGUGGGACUGCCGGUGAUAAGCCGGAGGAAGGUGGGGAUGACGUCAAGUCAUCAUGGCCCUUACGGGCUGGGCUACACACGUGUUACAAUGGCAGUGACAAUGGGCAGCCACUCCGCGAGGGGGAGCUAAUCCCAAAAAGCUUGUCUCAGUUCGGAUUGUUCUCUGCAACUCGAGAGCAUGAAGUCGGAAUCGCUAGUAAUCGCGGAUCAGCAUGCCGCGGU
rnacentral:rRNA from 1 species